GACGAACGCUGGCGGCGUGCUUAACACAUGCAAGUCGAACGAUGAUCCCCCGCUUGCGGGGGUGAUUAGUGGCGAACGGGUGAGUAAUACGUGAGUAACCUGCCCUUGACUCUGGGAUAAGCCUGGGAAACCGGGUCUAAUACUGGAUACUACUUCCUGCCGCAUGGAGGGGUGUGGAAAGGGUUUUACUGGUUUUGGAUGGGCUCCCGGCCUAUCAGCUUGUUGGUUGAGUACUGGCCCACCCAGGCGCCGACAGGUAGCCUGGCAGGGGGGGGUACCGGCCAAACUGGGGCUGAGACACGGCCCCGGCGUCUUAGGGGGGGAACAGGGGGGAAUAAUGGACCAAUGGCGGAAAGCUGAAUGAACGGAGGCGGGGGAGGGAUGACGGCCUUCGGGUUGGAAACCUCUUUCAGCAGGGAAGAAACCACAAGUGACGGUACCUGCAGAAGAAGCGCCGGCUAACUACGUG
rnacentral:rRNA from 1 species